rnacentral:rRNA from 1 species
UUUAACUGAAGAGUUUGAUCAUGGCUCAGAUUGAACGCUGGCGGCAGGCUUAACACAUGCAAGUCGAGCGGGGGAAGGUAGCUUGCUACUGGACCUAGCGGCGGACGGGUGAGUAAUGCUUAGGAAUCUGCCUAUUAGUGGGGGACAACAUCUCGAAAGGGAUGCUAAUACCGCAUACGUCCUACGGGAGAAAGCAGGGGAUCUUCGGACCUUGCGCUAAUAGAUGAGCCUAAGUCGGAUUAGCUAGUUGGUGGGGUAAAGGCCUACCAAGGCGACGAUCUGUAGCGGGUCUGAGAGGAUGAUCCGCCACACUGGGACUGAGACACGGCCCAGACUCCUACGGGAGGCAGCAGUGGGGAAUAUUGGACAAUGGGGGGAACCCUGAUCCAGCCAUGCCGCGUGUGUGAAGAAGGCCUUAUGGUUGUAAAGCACUUUAAGCGAGGAGGAGGCUACUUUAGUUAAUACCUAGAGAUAGUGGACGUUACUCGCAGAAUAAGCACCGGCUAACUCUGUGCCAGCAGCCGCGGUAAUACAGAGGGUGCGAGCGUUAAUCGGAUUUACUGGGCGUAAAGCGUGCGUAGGCGGCUUAUUAAGUCGGAUGUGAAAUCCCCGAGCUUAACUUGGGAAUUGCAUUCGAUACUGGUGAGCUAGAGUAUGGGAGAGGAUGGUAGAAUUCCAGGUGUAGCGGUGAAAUGCGUAGAGAUCUGGAGGAAUACCGAUGGCGAAGGCAGCCAUCUGGCCUAAUACUGACGCUGAGGUACGAAAGCAUGGGGAGCAAACAGGAUUAGAUACCC